AACGAACGCUGGCGGCAUGCCUAACACAUGCAAGUCGAACGAAGGCUUCGGCCUUAGUGGCGCACGGGUGCGUAACGCGUGGGAAUCUGCCCUUGGGUUCGGAAUAACUCAGAGAAAUUUGAGCUAAUACCGGAUGAUGUCGAAAGACCAAAGAUUUAUCGCCCAAGGAUGAGCCCGCGUAGGAUUAGCUAGUUGGUGAGGUAAAGGCUCACCAAGGCGACGAUCCUUAGCUGGUCUGAGAGGAUGAUCAGCCACACUGGGACUGAGACACGGCCCAGACUCCUACGGGAGGCAGCAGUGGGGAAUAUUGGACAAUGGGCGAAAGCCUGAUCCAGCAAUGCCGCGUGAGUGAUGAAGGCCUUAGGGUUGUAAAGCUCUUUUACCCGGGAUGAUAAUGACAGUACCGGGAGAAUAAGCUCCGGCUAACUUCGUGCCAGCCGCCGCGGUAA
rnacentral:rRNA from 1 species